rnacentral:rRNA from 1 species
AUUGAACGCUGGCGGCAUGCCUUACACAUGCAAGUCGAACGCACUAGCAAUAGUGAGUGGCGCACGGGUGCGUAACACGUGGGUAAUCAACCCUUCAGCCUGGGAUAACGACUCGAAAGGGUCGCUAAUACCGGAUACGGCGCGAGAGGCUUCGGCUUCUCACGAGAAAGCCACGCAAGGGGCACUGAAGGACGAGCCUGCGGCCCAUCAGCUAGUUGGUGAGGUAAGAGCUCACCAAGGCUAAGACGGGUAGCUGGUCUGAGAGGAUGAUCAGCCACACUGGAACUGAGACACGGUCCAGACUCCUACGGGAGGCAGCAGUGGGGAAUAUUGCGCAAUGGGCGAAAGCCUGACGCAGCCACGCCGCGUGAGCGAUGAAGGCCUCGGUCGUAAGACGUCUGUGGGAGGAGACGAAGAAAGACCUGU